GUAAUGUCUGGGAAACUGCCUGAUGGAGGGGGAUAACUACUGGAAACGGUGGCUAAUACCGCAUAACGUCGCAAGACCAAAGAGGGGGACCUUCGGGCCUCUUGCCAUCAGAUGUGCCCAGAUGGGAUUAGCUUGUUGGUGAGGUAACGGCUCACCAAGGCGACGAUCCCUAGCUGGUCUGAGAGGAUGACCAGCCACACUGGAACUGAGACACGGUCCAGACUCCUACGGGAGGCAGCAGUGGGGAAUAUUGCACAAUGGGCGCAAGCCUGAUGCAGCCAUGCCGCGUGUAUGAAGAAGGCCUUCGGGUUGUAAAGUACUUUCAGCGGGGAGGAAGGUGUUGUGGUUAAUAACCGCAGCAAUUGACGUUACCCGCAGAAGAAGCACCGGCUAACUCCGUGCCAGCAGCCGCGGUAAUACGGAGGGUGCAAGCGUUAAUCGGAAUUACUGGGCGUAAAGCGCACGCAGGCGGUCUGUCAAGUCGGAUGUGAAAUCCCCGGGCUCAACCUGGGAACUGCAUUCGAAACUGGCAGGCUUGAGUCUUGUAGAGGGGGGU
rnacentral:rRNA from 1 species